UUUAGGGGUUUCAUCUCAUUUCUUCUUCAAAACUUGAGGAAAAGAUGUGGUGAUACCGCCUAACUAAAAGCGAGGAAAUGUGUGUUGAGAGUACGAAACUCUCAUUUUACUGUGACUCUGUGUGUAAGCCAAUGACUGUAUGUGUGUGGAUUUGAAUAACCGAUUUGUGUAAUCAGGCUCAAGCCUUGGAAACUUGUAAACCGUUGGGGAUAUUUAUUUAUUUAUUUACUUGUUGUUAGAUUAAUGUAUUGUUACAUGAAGAACUAUUAUAUCAUGUAAUGUAAAUUUGGAGAUUUAUAUUUGAUUUUUC